AAGAACCACGAGGAGCUGGAGACGUCCGGCGCCCUCUAGUGGCUGAUUGAACUACUGCACUGGGAGAACUGGACCUUGACGCUACUGCAGCUCAGCGGCUGGUUUCUCUCUGAAUGGACCAAUCAGAACCAAAGAGGAUUCAGCUCUGAGACAACUAUUUACAUACAGUAGUUACACAUAUGUACAACAUGUUAGUGUUUCUAAACACUUGGAGUUUAGAAAACACAAAAAACUAUCAGGAGUUGUCAGAGGAAAGUUUUAAAACAUUAAAACUUAACCGUUGAAAUGAAACCAUAUAAUUGUUUACUAAAAUAUUUCUUCAUUGCUCCUGUAACAAUAAAACGUAAUAAAUGUCUUGUGUUUUUAUAAGACUUUUAUAUCAGUGUUUUCAGAGUCCAGGUUUCAUUUAUUAGAGAAACUCAACAUCUGCUUUAUUAUAAAUACAUUUUCUUUCUAGUUUUCCUUUUUUUCUUUUAAAAAAAAGGAAACCCACCUAAAUUAAAAAAAAAUAAAACAGUGAUAUCUAACAUAUUAUGUCUUGACUGUCUGGUUGUUGAUUCUCAGUUGUCUAAAGUAGGUUUGAUUCAUUUUUCAUCAGGAUGUUUUAAGAGGCUACGAAGAGCUUUAAAAACCCAACUUACCGCAGAGAUGAGAUAUUAUCCCACUUUCUCAGUCAGGAGAACAUCCGAUUGGCUGGUCAGUGUCCUGCUGGUUCUCUCUUAUCUCUACCUGCUGUAGAAAUGAACCGAUCCAUCUAAUUCAUCUAGGAGGGGUGGAAGUGUGUCAUUAAAGAGAGAAAUAGGAAAAAACUGCAUCAUAUAUGGUAUAUUUAUGAUGUAAUAGUUAACAAUACAGGGUUUAUAAUUACCUGACUGAUAUGAAAAUGCAUAUUUCACCAAAUGCUAAAUAAUAAAUAACAGUCCAAGUGAUGCUUUUAUGGGCUAUUUGUUAUUGUAAAUGAUGACGUCAUUAGCUGACAUAAACAAGAUGAGGCUGCUGAAGGUUUGUUGCACCUUCUGUGUAUUUUUUUUUAUCUUGUUUUUGUUCCCAGUUCUUUUCUCAUUUCAUUUUCAAAUUAGAACAGAAAAAUCCUCACUUCUAUAAGUGAGCCUGGUGCUGGAAAUUGGACACGAUUCGCUUUUAAAUAUGCGAAUCGUACUCAGAAGCAUCAACUCAGCUUCUGAGUACAGAAGCGGUCUGCGGUCAUCAGCGUUUUUAUGAUUUGAUUUCUUUAGAACUUAUGUAAAGAAAACCACAAGUAUUAUAGACAUUUAGUUAUUAUUAUCGGUUACUUUCUGAAAGAUGUGAAACAGAAUAUAGAAACAAUAAGUUGUGUAUUGAAUAAUGUUUAAAAUUUGUGCUGAAAUUUGGCUUUUUCAUCCAUGAUUCUUCUCAUUGUUGUUUGGACGCCGAACGUCAUCUUAGCAUUUGCUUGCUAGAUGGAUCAUUAUCAGCUGCGACCACAAGAGGGCGGUAGAGGAACAAAAAGAAAAUCAUCUUUGUUUAUUACAGUGGGCUCUUUGCACCUGCCGCGCUGACUUCACAACCGCAUGCGCAAAUGCGGCUCUUUUUUUCCGCUUUGAGUUACUAUGACAGCUAGAAAAGACAAAGUGUUGUUUCAGACGAAAAUAAAACCAUACUAUGAACAUUGCUUUCUUCCUACACUGUAAAAAAUAUCCGUAAAUUUUACAGUUAAAUAAAGUAAACCAUGAAAAUUGAACACCGUAAAUUGGAAAUCAGUUUUAGACUGUUUCUUUAACAAGUAAUUGCCGUAAAUAAGAUAAUUAGGAAAAAAUGUAAUUUUUACUGGGUUUUUUUUUUUCAGAAAAUUUACAUUGCCCUGCUGUUAAAAAAAAUCUUGUAAUACUUUUAACAGUAAUAUGCUGUAAUUUUUCUAGUAGUACAUACUGUAGUUUUUGCACUCAUCUUUCUUAAAUAAUACAGUUAGUAGCUGUUAAAAAUGCAUACUGUUGUGACAAUUACAGAAACAUACCGUAAUUUUUCUAGCAAUGUAUACCGUAGUUUUUGCAUUCAAUAAUUAUAAAGUAUACAGUUCAAAACUGUUCAAUAUGCAUACUGCUGUGGCAAUUACAAAAAUAUACUAUAAUUUUUCUAGCAGUGUAUAUCGUAAUUUUUACAUGUAUAAUUAAUCUAAAGUAUACAGGUCAAAACUGUCAAUAUGCAUACUGUUGUGGAAAUGAAAAAAGAAAUUGUAGUAGCGCUGUAACCUUUGCAUUUAAUUCUCCUGACAGCCCAAAUUAUGUAAAAAUAAACAAAUACUUGCAAUCAUCUUAAGUUGUGGGUCCUGAAUCUGGAAUCUAUUAAAGUUUGACUUUUUGAAUGGAAUUAUGGAAAUUAAAUAUCUUUCCACGAAAUGUUCUGUACUGUAAAUUAUCUUGUUGCCAAUAUUGGAUUUUUUUUCAUUAACAAAUAAAUUAAAAUAAUCUGUACUCAGUCACAGAAAAUGUUUUAGAGAUAUUUGUAGUCUAUAUUGUAAUAUAAUUUAUUCGGUUUAACAAAAGUCAUGUAAGUCAAGUUUCCUGCCUGUAGACCUGGCAGGCAGCCUGUAGUCAGUCUUAAUUAAUGGGGCCCCUGCACCUGGUCCGCGCGGACGGGCGAAGUGGAGUUCUGGCGGAAGUUUGGAAGCGGUGGAUUUGAGGACCCGUCGCACUCGGUGGUUCGCGUUUUUGUCCAGCUAUUCCGCUCAGAUUGUGCAGAGACUUCAUCAUCCAACCUUCUCCGUCUGAUCGGCUCUCGUUCUCAGAGUGAAAAUCCAGCUAUCAUCGGACCAGAGCGGACUCCAGAAACGUAUCGAUCUGCCACUAAACAGCUGGAAAGAGAGGAUGUGACAGAAGUACAGGGGAUUAAGUUCAGAUACGACGGAUACACAAAAGGACAUCCGCGAUGCCAUUCGAGCAGCGCUUCCCGGUCUUUCACAGGAAGUUUUGGCUGCUUUAGAGGAUGUUUGGGAGAAACUCGGCACUACAACCGCAGACGAUUUCCAUUGUAUCACCGAAGGAGACUUACGGCCUGUGCCGAAGCCCAUUCGGGCCAGAAGACCGGUGGCUGCACGGGCCCAAAAC